rnacentral:rRNA from 1 species
GACGAACGCUGGCGGCGUGCUUAACACAUGCAAGUCGAACGGAAAGGCCUUUUCGGAGGUACUCGAGUGGCGAACGGGUGAGUAACACGUGGGUGAUCUGCCCUGCACUCUGGGAUAAGCCUGGGAAACUGGGUCUAAUACCGGAUAGGACCGCACUUUAGUGUGUGUGGUGGAAAGUUUUUUCGGUGUAGGAUGAGCCCGCGGCCUAUCAGCUUGUUGGUGGGGUAAUGGCCUACCAAGGCGGCGACGGGUAGCCGGACCGAGAGGUUGGUCGGCCACAUUGGGACUGAGAUACGGCCCAGACUCCUACGGGAGGCAGCAGUGGGGAAUAUUGCACAAUGGGCGCAAGCCUGAUGCAGCGACGCCGCGUGGGGGAUGACGGCCUUCGGGUUGUAAACUCCUUUCGCCAGGGACGAAGCGUUUUGUGACGUUACCUGGAGAAGAAGCCCCGGCUAACUACGUG